rnacentral:rRNA from 1 species
AAAGAGUUAAUUAAUUAAUAAAGUUAAUGUUACAUAAUUAUUUUUAAUAAUUAAUUAGAAAUGAAAUGUUAUUCGUUUUAAAAUAUAUCUAGUUUUUUUAGAAAAAAAUUCAAUUUUAAAUAUAAUUAAAUUAAAAAUUAAUUAAUUAAUUUUUAAUUUAAUUAUAUUUUAUAAUUUAAGGGAUAAGCUUUAAAUUAAAAAUUUAUAAAUAAAAUUAUAAAAUUAAAAAAUUUUUAUGUUUUAUAUUGAUAAAAAAUUUUAAUUUAUUAUAAAUAAUUUUUAAAAAUUAAAAAUUUAAAUUUAGUUUUAAAAAUAUAUAUAAAAAAAUAUAUUUUAAUAGAAUAAAUAUAGAAAUAAUGAUAAAAUUAGUAUAUAAAUAUAAAUUAAGAUAAUAAUGUAAAUUUUAUAAUUAUUUAAUUAAAAGGAAUUCGGCAAAAAUUAUAUUCACUUGUUUAUCAAAAACAUGUCUUUUUGAAUUUAAUUUAAAGUCUAAUCUGCCCACUGAUGGAAUAUUAAAGGGCUGCAGUAUAUUGACUGUACAAAGGUAGCAUAAUCAAUAGUCUCUUAAUUAGUGACUUGUAUGAAAGAUUGGAUGAAAUAUAAGCUGUCUCUUAAUUAUUUUAUAAAAUUUAAUUUUUUAGUAAAAAAGCUAAAAUAAAAUUAAAAGACGAGAAGACCCUAUAGAGUUUUAUAAUUUUAUUUUAUUUUAUUAAAAUUUAUAAAUAAAUUUUGAAAAUAAAAUAAAUUAUUUUAUUGGGGUGAUAAAAAAAUUAAUAAAACUUUUUUUUGAUUAAAACAUAAAUAAAUGAUUAAAUGAUCCAAAUUUAUUGAUUAAAAGAAAAAGUUACCUUAGGGAUAACAGCGUAAUUUUUUUUUUUAGUUCAAAUAAGAAAAAAAGUUUGCGACCUCGAUGUUGGAUUAAGAUAAAAUUUAAAUGCAAAAGUUUAAAAUUUUUG